rnacentral:tRNA from 1 species
CGGGGCGUAGCGCAGACGGCUAGCGCGCCUGCCUUGGGAGCAGGAGGUCGCUGGUUCAAGUCCAGUCGCCCCGA